rnacentral:rRNA from 1 species
UUCAUGGAGAGUUUGAUCCUGGCUCAGGACGAACGCUGGCGGCGUGCCUAAUACAUGCAAGUCGAGCGGACCGACGGGAGCUUGCUCCCUUAGGUCAGCGGCGGACGGGUGAGUAACACGUGGGUAACCUGCCUGUAAGACUGGGAUAACUCCGGGAAACCGGGGCUAAUACCGGAUGCUUGAUUGAACCGCAUGGUUUAAUUAUAAAAGGUGGCUUUUAGCUACCACUUACAGAUGGACCCGCGGCGCAUUAGCUAGUUGGUGAGGUAACGGCUCACCAAGGCAACGAUGCGUAGCCGACCUGAGAGGGUGAUCGGCCACACUGGGACUGAGACACGGCCCAGACUCCUACGGGAGGCAGCAGUAGGGAAUCUUCCGCAAUGGACGAAAGUCUGACGGAGCAACGCCGCG